UAUUGUUUACACCAAAAAUAUCCACCAGGCUAGGAGCAGGCACUGCAUAGCUUGUCAGUUUCUGCAUCGAAAAUCAACUCUCUUGCAACACGUAGAAGCUGAAAUUCUAGCAUGGAUUUCUUUGCAGUGGCACUACCUGUUAAAGCAAAGUGUUUGAUGGAACGUGUAAAUUUGAUUGGAAGAAAAUGAUUAGAUGUCAAUCUUUCCAUCCUCCAGUUUAGAAGCAAUUGUCGACAUCAACAUCUAUGAACAACUUCUUUCAGGUGAGUUUGGCAUCCACAGCUUGUCAGUUUCUGUUCAGAAAACCAUUUCUCUUGCAAAGUGUAGAAGCGAAAAAAAAGGAAUGUGAACAGAAGUAAAAACUCGUGGAAGAAGUUGAUCAAUG
rnacentral:misc_RNA from 1 species